UGGGGAAUAUUGCACAAUGGGCGCAAGCCUGAUGCAGCCAUGCCGCGUGUGUGAAGAAGGCCUUCGGGUUGUAAAGCACUUUCAGCGGGGAGGAAGGCGUUAAGGUUAAUAACCUUGGCGAUUGACGUUACCCGCAGAAGAAGCACCGGCUAACUCCGUGCCAGCAGCCACGGUAAUACGGAGGGUGCAAGCGUUAAUCGGAAUUACUGGGCGUAAAGCGCACGCAGGCGGUCUGUCAAGUCGGAUGUGAAAUCCCCGGGCUCAACCUGGGAACUGCAUUCGAAACUGGCAGGCUAGAGUCUUGUAGAGGGGGGUAGAAUUCCAGGUGUAGCGAUGAAAUGCGUAGAGAUCUGGAGGAAUACCGGUGGCGAAGGCGGCCCCCUGGACAAAGACUGACGCUCAGGUGCGAAAGCGUGGGGAGCAAACAGG
rnacentral:rRNA from 1 species